rnacentral:rRNA from 1 species
UACGUAGGGUGCGAGCGUUAAUCGGAAUUACUGGGCGUAAAGCGUGCGCAGGCGGUGAGCUGUGUCCGAUGUGAAAGCCCCGGGCUUAACCUGGGAAUGGCAUUGGAAACUGGCUCGCUGGAGUGUGGCAGAGGGGGGUGGAAUUCCACGUGUAGCAGUGAAAUGCGUAGAGAUGUGGAGGAACACCGAUGGCGAAGGCAGCCCCCUGGGUCAACACUGACGCUCAUGCACGAAAGCGUGGGGAGCAAACAGG